rfam:Dipodomys ordii contig_1484, whole genome shotgun sequence.
GAAGGUGGCUCAGUGGUAGAAUGCAUGCCUUGCAUGCAUGAGGCCCUGAGUUCAAUUCCUCAGUACCAUCU